GUUAACUUAGUAUAUAUAAUAGUACAUAACCUUUUCGUGGUUUAAGAAAUUUAUUUAAUUAGUUAAUA
rnacentral:tRNA from 1 species